rnacentral:rRNA from 1 species
CCCUUAGAUGUUCUGGGCCGCACGCGCGCUACACUGAUGCAUUCAACGAGUCUAAAACCUGGUCCGAUAGGGCUGGGUAAUCUUUUGAAUGUGCAUCGUGAUUGGGAUAGAUGAUUGCAAUUCUUCAUCUUCAACGAGGAAUGCCUAGUAAACGCAAGUCAUCAGCUUGCAUUGAUUACGUCCCUGCCCUUUGUACACACCGCCCGUCGCUCCUACCGAUUGAAUGUUCCGAUGAAUACCAUGGACUGAGAGUAUGAAUGGGUUCGCCUAUUUCUGCUUCUCGGGAAGUGGAGUAAAUCUUAACAUUUAGAGGAAGGAGAAGUCGUAACA